AUAUCACAUAGUAGGGGAAAUGCUGUUAAUAUACUUGAUCAUAUCUAUCUUAACCCCAUCUUUUGUUUUUCGCCUUUAGGGUGAACCUGGUUUGCCUGGAAUAGCAGGAGAGAAGGGAGCAGCAGGGCUUAAGGGUGACCCUGGAGAAAGAGGAGAAAAGGGUGAUGCUGGAGAAAAUGGACAGAAGGGUGACACAGGAGAAAAGGUAUGCUACUUAGUAGUAGAGAAGAAAAUGUGUUUUUUUGGCAUGC
rnacentral:lncRNA from 14 species